GCCCGUGUAGUAUAGCUUGGAUAGUACACAGCCCUGCGGAGGCUGUAGCCGGAGUUCAAAUCUUCGCACGGGCG
rnacentral:tRNA from 1 species